ACCAACUCCAUGUUCAUCUCUGACACGGACGCACACGGAACGGUGACGGUUGACUUUAGCCGAUUAUUCUCAGCUUUCAUCGCAGUGCUGGAAAAAGCUGAUCCCUGUGAGAGACAGACAGCUUCAGCUGAACAUGACUCAUGGCUCCAUGCUGUGUGCACGCAUGCAGUGUUGUGUAAUGGCAAGUAUGCAUGUACGUCUAUUGUGUGCAGCGAGGCCAUGAUACUGGUGAGUUUGCAUGCAUGUGCCUGCCUGCAUCAGAGGACCCCCAGCGCGGCUGAAUGCUCCCCAGCUCUUCCGACCGACGUCACCCUAUCAUUUUCCCAGGUCUCUGGAAAAGUCUUUGUGUGUCCCCUCCCGUUAUUACCCAGUGUGCCGUUCCCUCCACACUCCUCAUAUGUCACGUCUUUGUUCUUCUGUGACAGGGUUGGUCAUAAACGAACAGUGCAAGAACUGAGUCACCAAAAAUCGGUUGUGCAUGCCGAGCGCUUCGGGGAAAGUGCUGUGCUCCAACUUGUCGGAUGAUCCUACUUGAUGUGAGUCUUUGGUGUAAUUUCCAGACAUUCACAGGCACUUUUGUGUAUUUUAUACAACAACAGGAAACCAUCGUGGUUAACGCAGUGUUUUUAAGCAGUGAGAAAUCUGGAGCAAUCUGAACAAAAAAAACAAAUCAGUUUGAACUCUAAGUAGCAUGUUAACGUGCUUUUAAAGAAACCUCUCUCACUGCAAUCACAUCACUUUUUGGGGUGGGGUCGACUCGUCAGAACUGACAUUUCUGGAUUUUUAUUAAUAUCAUCAAGUCAAGGCCUGUAAAACAAGAUUUCAGCAUCUCUGCAGCUUUUUUGAUGCUUCUUGUGCUUCGUUUGUCCGCAGAGGUGUCAUCUUCUGUUUUAAGGUACCUGAGCAGCACCGUCACAUGCUGUGGCCACUGUGCUCCACCACUCCCACCCUCACACACAGACACAUAGAUUUGUUUGGGCUCAGCACAGCAGACAUGCAAGUCCAAACCCCAACUGCGGUUGCUGAGUUGUGCCGACUCUUGAACGCACAUCCAACACAAGCUCAGUUAGGUCAUAAAUAAUGGUCUAGGGAUUCCUACUUCAUGACAGCUUGAGUCCAGCAGCAUGCUUGAGGUGAGAGAAGUAAGGACUCUGUGAGUCUGCUCAAGUAUUCCAGCAACCCUCUAGGGCUUCCUGGGCUACAGCUGCUCCACGAUGCUACCUUCUGGGUUUUAACCAGAGAUUCUUCGAUGGCGAACAAUUGGAGCCAAAGCAAAGUUCUGCAAGAGAGAAUGUUGGACACUCAGCACUGAGACUAAAGACACACUUCUAGUUGCUUUCAUUAAAAAACAAGGUUUCAUGUUUUUGAGCAACAGGAAGAUUUAAAAGACCAGGGGGGUAUUCCAGAAAGCAGGUUAUGCUAGCUCCCACGGUACGUUUGAGGCUAAGGAAGUUGAUAA